rnacentral:sRNA from 1 species
UAAAGCACAAACACAAAGAAAGGGAAGA